GCCUUCGUGGUGUAGUGGUCAGCACAAUCGACGCGUAACCGAGAGGUCCAUGGUUCGAUUCCCGCGAAGGUG
rfam:Stegodyphus mimosarum contig57771, whole genome shotgun sequence.